ACAGUGUUUUUACUCCCUUCCAAACAAUAAAGUUCCAUUGGAACAGCCUCUUUGUCUCUCACUAGGAAAGUUAAACCAGACAGUACAAGGCUACAUUCCACCUUUGCAAGCCAAUCAGUUUGCUAAUUGUUCUUGUGAGAUCUGUUUGAAAAGUUUAAGGUGUUAAGUAGAAGCUGUGAACAUCUGGGUCUGCUUGCUGCUGGCAUUCUGCCAGAGCCCCAGCAACAAGACCGCCUCCCAGCAACAAGACCACCUCCCAGCAACGAGACUGCCUGUCAGCCUUGCAAGGUACCCAAUUUUCCAAUUACUCUAUAACAAAACUGUUGUGGGCAACAAGACCGCCUCCUAGGUUUGCAAGCCAAUCACUUUGCCAAUUGUUCUUGUAAGAUUUGUUUGAAAAGUUUGAGGUGUUAAGUAGGAGCUGUGAACAUUUUGCUUGCUGCUGGCAUUCUACCAGAGCCCCAGCAACAACACUGUCUCCCAGCUUUGCAAGGUAAUUACUUUCCCAAUUACUGUACACCAAAACGGAGUAACUGCCGUGGUCAACAAAUCUGCCUCCCAACUUUCAAGGUAAUCACUUUCCCAAUUACAAUAUACAAACUGUUAUGGAACUUUAAUUAACAAAGCCUUAAGACCGGGUAGUAGCACUAUCAACAUGUCUAUUUAAAGAAAAGAGAUAAUUUUUUUUCUUCUUGUAAUCAUCUUGUCUAUCAAUGUACCAGAGGGUUAAAAUAACAAAUUGCUAGUAUACAUCAGAAGUAAACAGUCUUUUGGCUACCAAUGCAGCUACCUGGUUAUUAUGCUUGACUUAUAAUGAAAGCUGGGUCUGAUCACAUGCUUGAAAUGCCAACAAUUAAUAUUAUGUUUUUAUGCUGACAUUUUACCAGAUGCCGAGAAAAAAUAAAAGAUCCCAGGCACAAAAGAAGCGCUGGAAACCACUUGACCUUGUCGAUCCUGCUGUCCCAAUGCUUACUGGCCACAACCAAGAUGAGGCAGUCAGUAGUUUUCCAUCUGACCAGACAGCACCAGCCAGGUUAUCCGUGGAAACACAGGAUAGACCCACCUCCUUAUGUUCCCCAGAUAUCAAGGUAAAUAUCAAAAAAAUAUUCCUCCAUUAAGAAUUUAGAGCA
rnacentral:lncRNA from 1 species